UGUAAUUUGUAGAGGAUGUUUCGGGUACCGCUCCGGUUUAAAUUUCUUGGAACAGAAUGUCAAAGAGGGUGAGAAUCCCGUCUUGGACCGGCGGUAGGGCCCAUGUGAAACUCCUUCGACGAGUCGAGUUGUUUGGGAAUGCAGCUCAAAAUGGGUGGUAAAUUUCAUCUAAAGCUAAAUAUUGGCCAGAGACCGAUAGCGCACAAGUAGAGUGAUCGAAAGAUGAAAAGCACUUUGAAAAGAGAGUUAAACAGUAUGUGAAAUUGUUGAAAGGGAAGCGCUUGCAACCAGACUUGAGCGCGGCGGUUCCCCCUUCCUUUUGGUUGGGCUACUCCGCCGUGUCCAGGCCAACAUCGGUUCUGGGGGUCGGUUAAAGGCUUGGGGAAUGUACCUACCCUUCGGGCGUAGACUUAUAGCCCCAGGUGUCAUGCGACCUCCCGGGACCGAGGAACGCGCUUCGGCUCGGAUGUUGGCGUAAUGGUUGUCAGCGACCCGUCUUGAAACACGGACCAAGGAGUCUAACAUCUAUGCGAGUGUUUGGGUGUCAAACCCGGAACGCGGAAUGAAAGUGAACGGAGGUAGGAAGCUUCGGCUGCACUAUCGACCGAUCCUGAUGUCUUCGGAUGGAUUUGAGUAAGAGCAUAGCUGUUGGGACCCGAAAGAUGGUGAACUAUGCCUGAAUAGGGUGAAGCCAGAGGAAACUCUGGUGGAGGCUCGCAGCGGUUCUGACGUGCAAAUCGAUCGUCAAAUUUGGGUAUAGGGGCGAAAGACUAAUCGAACCAUCUGGUA
rnacentral:rRNA from 1 species